CCCUUGUGGAGGAGGACGCCGAAGGUGGGGCUAAUGACUGGGGUGAAGUCGUAACAAGGUAGCCGUACCGGAAGGUGCGGCUGGAUCACCUCCUAACAGGGAGACAACAAAAUGUUAAAUAUUAAUUUUGUCACCUUAGGUCGAUCGGUAUCUCACAUUCUUAAUUUAUUUAAGAAUUUUAUUUCCUAAGUUUUUUCUAGGUCACACCCAUUAUUUUUCCUGGGCCAUUAGCUCAGGUGGUUAGAGCGCACCCCUGAUAAGGGUGAGGUCCCUGGUUCAAGUCCAGGAUGGCCCAUAUCUCUAUGUUGGGGGUAUAGCUCAGUUGGUAGAGCGCCUGCUUUGCAAGCAGGAUGUCAGCGGUUCGAGUCCGCUUACCUCCACUGAUUACCACCUCUUCCAUAAUUUAUAGAAGGGAAAUUUUUGAGUUGUGAUCAAAUUCUGAACGAAUCUAGCUUCCUAAUAAUCUUAUUAAGAUGCUGGACUCAUUGAAUUAUUUUUCAUUGUUUUCAGAGAACCUUGACAACUGCAUAGAUUAUUUUUAAAGACAAUAAGCAUCUUUAUUGAUGCAGAUUUAUUAUUUGUGCGAAUGCAUUAAAUAACAAUUCUAUUAAGCUGAUGCUUCAAAUUUUUGAAGUUAUUGGUCAAGCUACAAAGGGCUCACGGAGGAUACCUAGGCAC
rnacentral:misc_RNA from 1 species